rnacentral:rRNA from 1 species
UCGGGAAUUUUGGGCAAUGGGGGAAACCCUGACCCAGCAACGCCGCGUGAGGGAUGAAGUAUUUCGGUAUGUAAACUUCGAAAGAAUAGGAAGAAUAAAUGACGGUACUAUUUAUAAGGUCCGGCUAACUACGUGCCAGCAGCCGCGGUAAUACGUAGGGACCAAGCGUUGUUCGGAUUUACUGGGCGUAAAGGGCGCGUAGGCGGCAUGACAAGUCACUUGUGAAAUCUCUGGGCUUAACCCAGAACGGCCAAGUGAUACUGUCGCGCUAGAGUGCAGAAGGGGCAAUCGGAAUUCUUGGUGUAGCGGUGAAAUGCGUAGAUAUCAAGAGGAACACCUGAGGUGAAGACGGGUUGCUGGGCUGACACUGACGCUGAGGCGCGAAAGCCAGGGGAGCAAACGGGAUUAGAUACCCGCGUAGUCCCUGAGCGGGCUGGCAAGGCGCAU